rnacentral:lncRNA from 1 species
UGUAAUUUACUACUUUUGUUUCUCUUACCAAAUAAAAUAAAAUAAAAUAAAAUAAAAUCCCCUUACCUUAAAAUCCAGUCAAAAUCGCUAAAACAAAUUCAAAAAUUUGCAUGUCUAUCCCGCAAAGCAUGUGAAAACCAAACACGUAAUUUUUCUUUUAAACUUCGUCACUAAAAAUAGCCAUGAAUUUGCACCUAUAAAAUCACCUUCCCCAC